AUGAGUUCAGCUAAAGCUGCUCUAGAGAGUGCUACCGAGGUGCUUGCAUUUGAAGCAGGAAGGCGCCACAAGAUUCGAGUUAAUACAAUAUCUGCUGGUCCAUUGAGAAGUCGUGCAGCCAAGGCCAUAGGAUUCAUUGACAUGAUGAUUGACUACUCAUCAGCCAAUGCAGGAUUAUAUCAUGUGAGAUGAUAGGAGUUGGCCAUGAAUACAUGGAAGAGUUCUUUAGUGGUUGCAAAUCCGUUUUGGCUGAAGAUGGUUUGUUUGUCCUACAGGUUACAUAUUGUCUAUUAUACUUUUUCUUAAUUAUGGUUUGAUUUGAAUUAUCUAAAAAGAAAGGUGUCCCUGUAGUAGUCCAUUCAAAUGGCCCCACUUAGCCAUUUCCUCUUUAUUGAAUUGAGUUGUUACCAAUUUUGUGAAUGGGAUUCUUAUUAAACAAUCAUGUGAAUUAUUUUUUGAAUGACUAUCAGGUGUAAGAUUAAAAAA